AUGAGAAGAGGGAGGAAGGAUUUCAAGGGUGAAGACAGGUUUGCCAAGAUGACACCACAUUUUAAAGCCACUUUUGGCAUAGGGGCUUUGAAUAAGAUUGGAGGUGUCAAGCCAUACUUUGCAGACAAGUUCUAUAAGCAAUGCUUGUUUAUACUGAAAUGAAAAAAAAGGGAAUAAGAAAUCAUCCACUGCCACUACUGAAAAAGAAUAAUCUACUUUAAAGCUCCAUUUCACAAAUUAAAUUCUGGCUGUAUUUUACCAUAAGGACUUUCUCUUCACGGAAGUAGAACUACACAUAAGAGCCAAUGUUCUCAAGCAAAAACAUACAGUAUUUAGAGAAACUGUAAUUCACCAGUAAUGUUGCCACAUAAUCAUUUCACACAAGAUUGCUAAUCAUGCCAUGUGUGGGAAAUAUCUAAACUGGGAAGGCAAGAAUGGCAACAGAUUUGGGCCGUAAAACUGAACCUUCAAGCAGAUGAACAAGAAGAAUGAAAAAGGCAAUGUGAUCUAAUAAAAGAAUAUUUUAAGAAUGCUCUGGGUACAAAUAAAAUGUGUUUUUGAAUUACAGAUAACGCUUAAGACUCCAACUGACCCAAAGUUUUAUUUUGGAAACAAGAUCACUGUAAAAAUACUGCAAUUCAA